UGAGUUUUUUCCAAGCAAAUUUUUGACAUUUGAUUAAAAAAUUUUUCCCAAAGUUUUUCUAGAAAAUGUCUGAGGUAAACCUCAGAUAAAUUUUCUAGUUUAUGAAACUGAACGUUUUUGGUUGUUGAAACUCUGACAUAUCCAGGUUUUCUCUAGAAAAGCUCCGUCUGACUCCCGGUGCAGUUCGCUCCUCUUCCUUCUCUGCUGCUCGCCGUCGUUUCUUCCCCUCGUCUCACUGUUUAAUUUACUUCCUGUAAUGAAAAGGGGAACGAGUCCAGAGCUGUUUUCUACGAGGUAAUUACUGAGUCCGAUGUGUUGAUUUAGUUGGAAGGCUGCGUGAUAUUAACUUUUCUUUCUCUCUGUGUUUCUGAAUACCUGAUCUCCGCCGUGACACUGAAUGUAAAAAUAGACUUUUUUAGGAUUAUGUUUUUCUUUUUGUAACUUUUUUGUCUUUUUCUACAAAAACGAAACCCCUGAAGGAAACUCAAAGUGAAGCUGGUGGGUUUGUGUUCAGUCAUGUGAUCGUUUGGUUCUUCAAAACAAAUAAAAACAGAAAGAAAUCCCACAGUGUCAUAAAAAUAAAUGUCGGUUUCCCAGCAAACAGAGACGAACAUGUCAGGAAACAACCAACACAGAGCAGAGAUGAAACUAGUUCAUCUAAAUCUGGAUCUUUACAGCAGGAACUGUUCACAGGUCAUGAACCUGAACUGACCAGUUAUUGGUCAGAAUGAUCCUUUAACUUCCUGGAUUAGUGAAAUAUUAAAAUGAUCUUGUUCUCCUGCUGGUUUGUGUUUGGUUCAGGGUGAAUCAGCUGAGCUCCAAAUGUUCCCUCUCCGAGUUCACAUGGGGUCAUUUCUGUUGUUUCUGUUUUAAAUUUAAUGCCUACAUUUAAUUUACUAAAAGGAUUAAUAACAAACUCAGGAAAAGUUCUGGAUCCAUUGCUAGCAGCUUGUGUUCAGCACCGUCAUGGUUGCUAGGCAACAGGACGGAAAGGCGGGAAAUCUGAAGGCUGAACGUUUCACAGCUGCUAACUGUUAGCAUGUUAUUGCUGUUGCCAAGUGUGACCAUCACUGUUAGCGGGCUAACGCUAAAGUCAGACUAUUCAACAGAUCUUUAGCAUGACAGUGCUAACAGUUAGCAGUCUGUUGCUAGUGUUAGCAUUAGUGUUGCCUAUGGAUACCACAACGUUUUUACUCUUUACGUUUUUUACGCCCCGUCUCACUUUACAGGCCAUGAAUGUUUCAGUGAGUCCAACUGAAACACAGCUAACAGCUGAAUCUGUCAAUGUGUUGAAUUUUCCAGACCACAACCCAGUCGAGGCGACGCCGUCAGUUACUGUGGCAGAAAUAAUGUUGGCCAAACUAAACUCUAGAGACGGUUUCUUCUUUUACUCAAACCUACAAUAAUGUUUUGUUUCCUUAAAAAUAUUCUUUCUCCUCGCCCUCUGGUUUGUGUUUUGGCAUCAAGACGGACAGGAACAAGUAGCAAAAACAAAGAUAUUCACAAUAAGCUUCCUAAGGUCAGAAUUUGGCAGCAACACAAGCUAAAGUCGCUAACAGCUAACGUCAGCUCAGACGAUGGGGUUCCUUCUGAACGUUCCUGUUUCUUCGUUCACAGCAUCCUGGAGACGGACGGGCUGAUGCUCAGCAGAGC